UACAGAGGUCCCAAGCGUUGUUCGGAUUCACUGGGCGUAAAGGGUGCGUAGGUGGUGAGGUAAGUCGGAUGUGAAAUCUCCGAGCUCAACUCGGAAACUGCAUUGGAAACUACCUUGCUCGAGGGUUGGAGGGGGGACUGGAAUGCUUGGUGUAGCAGUGAAAUGCGUAGAUAUCAAGCGGAACACCAGUGGCGAAGGCAGCUUACUAUGGUAUGAUUGACGCUGAGGCACGAAAGCGUGGGGAUCAAACAGG
rnacentral:rRNA from 1 species